rnacentral:rRNA from 1 species
GUGGGGAAUUUUGGACAAUGGGCGCAAGCCUGAUCCAGCCAUGCCGCGUGCGGGAAGAAGGCCUUCGGGUUGUAAACCGCUUUUGUCAGGGAAGAAAUCCUCUGAGAUAACACCUCGGGGGGAUGACGGUACCUGGAGAAUAAGCACCGGCUAACUACGUGCCAGCAGCCGCGGUAAUACGUAGGGUGCAAGCGUUAAUCGGAAUUACUGGGCGUAAAGCGUGCGCAGGCGGUUGUGCAAGACAGAUGUGAAAUCCCCGGGCUUAACCUGGGAACCGCAUUUGUGACUGCACGGCUAGAGUGCGGCAGAGGGGGAUGGAAUUCCGCGUGUAGCAGUGAAAUGCGUAGAUAUGCGGAGGAACACCGAUGGCGAAGGCAAUCCCCUGGGCCUGCACUGACGCUCAUGCACGAAAGCGUGGGGAGCAAACAGGAUUAGAUACCCCGGUAGUCC